CCUACGGGUGGCAGCAGUGGGGAAUAUUGGACAAUGGGGGGAACCCUGAUCCAGCCAUGCCGCGUGUGUGAAGAAGGCCCUCGGGUUGUAAAGCACUUUCAGUGAGGAAGAACGCCUGGUGGUUAAUACCCAUCAGGAAAGACAUCACUCACAGAAGAAGCACCGGCUAACUCCGUGCCAGCAGCCGCGGUAAUACGGAGGGUGCGAGCGUUAAUCGGAAUUACUGGGCGUAAAGCGCGCGUAGGUGGCUUGAUAAGCCGGUUGUGAAAGCCCCGGGCUCAACCUGGGAACGGCAUCCGGAACUGUCAAGCUAGAGUGCAGGAGAGGAAGGUAGAAUUCCCGGUGUAGCGGUGAAAUGCGUAGAGAUCGGGAGGAAUACCAGUGGCGAAGGCGGCAUUCUGGACUGACACUGACACUGAGGUGCGAAAGCGUGGGUAGCAAACAGGAUUAGAUACCCGGGUAGUC
rnacentral:rRNA from 1 species